UCUGCCCCUAGAGGCAUUGCCUGUGUGUCAGCUACAUCACCUGUGCAUCAAUAGGUGGCAGAGAGGCGGGGGCUAUGUGUACACUCAGUGUUCUAACCUGUGAACAUCUGAACGAGAAGUGCCUUAACACU